CGUGGGUAACCUGCCCAAGAGAUCGGGAUAACACCUGGAAACAGAUGCUAAUACCGGAUAACAACAGAUGAUGCCUAUCAACUGUUUAAAAGAUGGUCUUUUGCUAUCACUCUUGGAUGGACCUGCGGUGCAUUAGCUAGUUGGUAGGGUAACGGCCUACCAAGGCGAUGAUGCAUAGCCGAGUUGAGAGACUGAUCGGCCACAUUGGGACUGAGACACGGCCCAAACUCCUACGGGAGGCAGCAGCC
rnacentral:rRNA from 1 species